rnacentral:rRNA from 1 species
ACGUAGGGUGCGAGCGUUAAUCGGAAUUACUGGGCGUAAAGCGUGCGCAGGCGGUUUCGUAAGACAGAGGUGAAAUCCCCGGGCUCAACCUGGGAACGGCCUUUGCGACUGCGAAGCUAGAGUGUAGCAGAGGGGGGUAGAAUUCCACGUGUAGCAGUGAAAUGCGUAGAGAUGUGGAGGAAUACCGAUGGCGAAGGCAGCCCCCUGGGCCACUACUGACGCUCAUGCACGAAAGCGUGGGGAGCAAACAG